AUUGAACGCUGGCGGCAGGCCUAAUACAUGCAAGUCGAGCGGAGCGGCGGACGGGUGAGUAAUGCCGAGGAAUCUGCCUGGUAGAGGGGGCUAACGUCCGGCAACGGGCGCUAAUACCGCAUAAUAUCAAAGCAGCCUAGGUCGGAUUAGCUAGUGGGUGGGGUAAAGGCCUACCAAGGCGACGAUCCGUAACUGGUCUGAGAGGAUGAUCAGUCACAUGGGAACUGUGACACGGUCCAGACUCCUACGGGGGGCAGCAGUGGGGAAUAUUGCACAAUGGGCGAAAGCCUGAUCCAGCCCUGCCGCGUUUUUGAAGAAGGUCUUCGGAGUGUUAAGCACUUUCAGUUGGGAGGCGUUACCCACAGAAUAAGCACCGGCUAACUUCGUGCCAGCAGCCGCGGUAAUAC
rnacentral:rRNA from 1 species